AUAGUGUACAUGUCCUUUUAAGGCUCUCAUUAUUCAAAUAAAAUAUGAAAACAAUUUGGGUGGUUACUCAAUCAAUUAUCAGGACUCCAGGAGUGCUCUAGUUCUGGAUUUUGGUCAAAUUUAUUUGUGAAUACUAGCUUAAUUGUACAGGUGGUUGCUGAGUUGUGUGUUUGUUUAAUUUAGCUUCACAUUAUGUGUCUAUUUAUAAUUUUUUAUUUACAUUCUUGCAGGCUCUUGGCUGAAGUCUGGAUUAAGAGUUGGUCGCGGACAAAUUCAAAGUUUCCCAAUUAUCCUUUAUUUUAUGUAACUUUGCUUAUGUUUAAGCCUGAAUUUGGACAACAUUUGUAAAAUAUUGAUAUUUCGUGUACUAAUUCGUCACCAGUUUCGUGUAUUUUUCGUGUAUAUUUCGUGUUUUCGUGUUUUCGUGUACUAUUUCGUAUCGUGUCGUUUUCGUGUACAUGAAAAAAUUCGUGUACUACAGUUCGUGUCGUUUUUACCUAUUUCUAAAUCGUGUCGUGUUCGU
rnacentral:lncRNA from 1 species